GACGAACGCUGGCGGCGUGCUUAACACAUGCAAGUCGAACGCUGAAGCCUAGCUUGCUGGGUGGAUGAGUGGCGAACGGGUGAGUAACACGUGAGUAACCUGCCCUCUUCUUUGGGAUAACGCCCGGAAACGGGUGCUAAUACUGGAUAUUCACUGAUCUUCGCAUGGGGGUUGGUGGAAAGGUUUUUUCUGGUGGGGGAUGGGCUCGCGGCCUAUCAGCUUGUUGGUGGGGUGAUGGCCUACCAAGGCUUUGACGGGUAGCCGGCCUGAGAGGGUGACCGGUCACAUUGGGACUGAGAUACGGCCCAGACUCCUACGGGAGGCAGCAGUGGGGAAUAUUGCACAAUGGGCGAAAGCCUGAUGCAGCGACGCCGCGUGAGGGAUGGAGGCCUUCGGGUUGUAAACCUCUUUCGCUCAUGGUCAAGCCGCAGCUUUGGGUUGUGGUGAGGGUAGUGGGUAAAUAAGCGCCGGCUUACUUUGUGCCAGGAUCGCGGUUAUAUUUUG
rnacentral:rRNA from 1 species